rnacentral:rRNA from 1 species
AGUGAACGCUGGCGGUAGGCCUAACACAUGCAAGUCGAACGGCAGCACAGUAAGAGCUUGCUCUUACGGGUGGCGAGUGGCAGACGGGUGAGGAAUACAUCGGAAUCUACUUUUUCGUGGGGGAUAACGUAGGGAAACUUACGCUCAUACCGCAUACGACCUACGGGUGAAAGCAGGGGAUCUUCGGACCUUGCGCGAUUGAAUGAGCCGAUGUCGGAUUAGCUAGUUGGCGGGGUAAAGGCCCACCAAGGCGACGAUCCGUAGCUGGUCUGAGAGGAUGAUCAGCCACACUGGAACUAGAACACGGUCCAGACUCCUACGGGAGGCAGCAGAGGGGAAUAUUGGACAAUGGGCGCAAGCCUGAUCCAGCCAUACCGCGUGGGUGAAGAAGGCCUUCGGGUUGAAAAGCCCUUUUGUUGGGAAAGAAAAGCAGCAGGUUAAUACCCCGCUGUUCUGACGGUACCCAAAGAAUAAGCACCGGCUAACUUCGUG